GCUUGGAAUUGAGACAACAAUGGAGGUGUCAACAAGACUUGAACCAAGGACCUCAUGAAACAACUUGAUUCUUAUACACCAACAUAUUCAAGAUGUUCCUUCUGCAACCCUUCAAGCGCUUUUUUUGGUAAGAGUUUUCAUAAAGCUGU